GUGAAUCAUCAAAUUUUUGAACGCAAAUUGCACUCUCUGGUAUUCCGGAGGGUAUGCCUGUUUGAGGGUCAGUUUAAAUAAAAAUCGGUGUGGUUUCUGCCUUUCGUGGUGACGCACCGGAUUUGGGUCGUCUUUCCUUCGGUUAAGUGACCUAAACUUUUGCAGGAUUUUUGUCUCACGUAUUGAAAUUG
rnacentral:misc_RNA from 1 species